GAAAUGCGAUAAGUAAUGUGAAUUGCAGAAUUCAGUGAAUCAUCGAGUCUUUGAACGCACAUUGCGCCCCCUGGUAUUCCGGGGGGCAUGCCUGUCCGAGCGUCAUUGCUGCCCUCAAGCCCGGCUUGUGUGUUGGGUCGCCGUCCCCCUCUCCGGGGGGACGGGCCCGAAAGGCAGCGGCGGCACCGCGUCCGAUCCUCGAGCGUAUGGGGCUUUGUCACAUGCUCUGUAGGAUUGGCCGGCGCCUGCCGACGUUUCCAACCAUUCUUUCCAGGUUGACCUCGGAUCAGGUAGGGAUACCCGCUGAACUUAAGC
rnacentral:misc_RNA from 1 species